rnacentral:rRNA from 1 species
AUGCCCCAAGGAGAAGUGAGUUUUAUCAAUGUCCGUGAGAUCCUCCUUGAGUUUCUACAAUCUAAGCGUAUUGGAGUUACGACCGUGACGAAAUGCCCUUUCGGGCAAGCUUUUGUGCGGGUUCACAGUGCGGCGGACAGAGAUUUCUUAGUUAACAGAGGGCCGCAUGCCUAUGAUGACAUCCACAUCAUCUUUCAAAGGCAUAAUGAGGGUCUGAAUUGGAAAAUUUUCAAUCUGAAUCGAGAUGUUUGGCUUCUGGUGUUUGGUUUCCCUACUGAUUUGAGAAGUUUUCAUGAGCUGUCCAAUGCAACUACGGGUUUUGGGCAACUUAUGGUGUGGGACAGAUAUAAAUCCAGUGAUGCCGCGGUUGCUCUGAAAGUUAAGGUUGAUGCUCUGAAGGAUGUCCCAACCAGUCUGGUAGUAUCAGGUGCUAAGAAUUUCAGUGGUCAGCCAUGGACCUGCCGUGUUGUGAUGGUGGAUGACAACCCCAUUGGAGAGCCACCUGCUGACGAGAACCCGAUUCCUGUGGAUGGUAACCCUCAUCCAAGGCCACAAGAACAAUUCCACCACCCAAACCAGAACAAUCUAAUUGUUGGGCCUGUUGCUUUCCAUCUGUUGCAGCCUGAACAUCAAGAUCUACCAGUCGUUGAAGAAGCUCCGGCCCAAGAAGAGGAAGAUGAGGGCUGGGGCCAUUGGGCAAUGCCACAGCAACAACAUCUUAUAGAUGUGGAAAUUCAAGCUGGGGAAUUCCUGGAAUUGAAUGAUCUGAUGGGCCCCCUGGAGAUUGAUGUAGAACAACCAGUGGAUGACAACAGUGGUCUCACCCUUUCCUUGUGUUUACCUAGUGCUAAUGUGAGCUCUGCUGAAUCUGCUAAUGGAGUGCCAAUACUUCAAGAUCUGGAUGAGCUGCUGGCUCCUCUUGUUCUACCUGUAGCCCAGCCUAUUCAUGCUGGCUUUGAUCUCAAUCAGCCCAUUGAACAGCUGCCAGGGGAAGAUUUCAUCAUUCCUGAAGCACCAUUACUACCUAUUGCUGAGAAUGCUAAUUUGGUUGCUGAAUCUCCUCCACAACCUCAAAUGGAAAUGCAUGUGCAAGAGCCAUUACUGCACCAAGACUUUGAAGCUCCCAAUGCAACUUUUGUUGCUGAGGCCCCAAUCAUUAUUGUAGAGGAGAAUGUUGCCACUACUGCUGUUCCUCCUAUUGCAGCAGAAGUGCCAGAUGUUGCAAUGACAGACUUUGCUGCAGAUGUUUCUGCUGCAAUGGAGAUUGCUGCUAUGAUUGCUCCAGCCCAGCUGGCAGACAAGGAGUCUAGUGCUACCACUCCAGAUCCUCUGGCCAAUUCAGAAGGCCCAGCCUCAGCUGCUCAGAGAGUCUCACCUCUAACAGACAACCAGGAUGCAGAAAACUUCAGCUCAUCUGCAAGUCAUAGUAUGGAUGCUCCCCCUGGCUUCCCUUUUCCUGUCUUCAAUGCAAGUUUCUCUGGCAAAGAUAUUCAGUUACAAGCCACUGCAUCUUCAGGCCAAGAUGAGGAGUUUCUCUCAAAGGAAGGGCUGGAGCUUUGGAGCACUCAUUUUGCACCUGUGGCUCCAACAGAUAAAGUUACUCAGGUACCUGUUGAAUGGUGCAAAUUCAUCACUUUUGCUCUAUUGACUAUCGAAAAUUUUGAUUGGGCCAAAUCUUUGCUUGCUUCCCAAUUAUGGACUUACAUCAUUGAAGGUUCUGCAAGUAAUACAACACUGCCUUUUGUUAUACCUAAAAAGUGUCAAAAUGAGCAGAUUCUUUGUUGUAAAAAUUCAGUUAUGAACCAAGAAGUUUCUUCUAGUGAUAGUUUGACACCUCAGGCAUAG